CCUACGGGUGGCAGCAGUGGGGAAUAUUGCACAAUGGGCGAAAGCCUGAUGCAGCAACGCCGCGUGAGCGAUGACGGCCUUCGGGUCGUAAAGCUCUGUCCUCAAGGAAGAUAAUGACGGUACUUGAGGAGGAAGCCCCGGCUAACUACGUGCCAGCAGCCGCGGUAAUACGUAGGGGGCUAGCGUUAUCCGGAAUUACUGGGCGUAAAGGGUGCGUAGGUGGUUUCUUAAGUCAGAGGUAAAAGGCUACGGCUCAACCGUAGUAAGCCGUUGAAAAUGGGGAACUUGAGUGCAGGAGAGGAAUGUGGAAUGCGUGGUGUAGCGGUGAAAUGCGUAGAGAUUAGGAAGAACACCAGUUGCGAAGGCAGCUCUCUGGACUGUAACUGACACUGAGGCACGAAAGCGUGGGGAUCAAACAGGAUUAGAUACCCCAGUAGUC
rnacentral:rRNA from 1 species